UAAAUCUAACUAAUUUCUGCGAAUCGGUCGUCGUUGCGUAAUGACGCCAUCACGCGCUCCAUACGUCCUGACGUUCCCAUAAAACCCUACGUACGUUUACGCUACUGUUAUUACGUUAUUGGGUAAGCGUGUUUAUUUGAUGUCUUCAGGAUUUUCACGCCGAACGAAUCACACAGACUAGUUUCUUGGAUCGAUUCAAAAAGGGAUUCGUUUGCGAGUCCUCCAAAGAGAGAGCAUUGGUGUAGCAGAUACAGUCUCUCUAGCUGCUACAUCUGCAGACGUGGUGGGGAUCUGGAAGUCUCCAGUUGUGGAUGUUGAUGAUGAAGAGCUGACAGAGGGUCCUGCCAUCACGGUGGCCGAUACCGGUGUGCUGGUCACCAAGGUGACGGUGGAUGUGGACGUGGUUUGUGUCGAGUCUUUCUGUUGCACUGCUCCUGUCGUGUUUGGUAUCUGGUGCUGGAUGAAGGCUGCUGUCCCGACGAGGAUGAGGAGACCUGCGCUUGCUGCUGCGGCUGUUGGCUGCGCUGCACCUGUGUUAACACCUGCGCCUGCGUGGCCGGUUGCGUUUGGCCCUGCUGCUGCCUGUGCACCUUUUGCAUGUGCCACUUUUGAGAGGACGUCUGAAACUUGGUGGUGGGGUUCCACACGACGGCCUGCUGCACCACAGGUUUGACGGAGCCCGCACCAGGGUUCGCCGGGUCCAGAAGCAUCUGGAACUGGUUGUCUGGUGUGUAAGGUGUGCGGAAUGGAGCGUAAUUGAAGACUCCAAAUUUUUUCCGGAUGUUCUCUACGUACACUUCCAUCUCCUGCAUGGCACUGUUGAAGAUGCUCUUGGUCUUCUUCACAGAGAAGGGGAUCUCUUUGGACAUGAGGCACAGCUUUCAAAUGUAGACUAAAUCAUGGAUCUCCAAAGCAGAGCCAUGGAAAGUCAAGAAACCUACACCAGGCUGCUUUAUCUUCUGGAGAGCAAACUUCAGCAGGAAAGACAGCUGAUCCAAUGACUGGAGGAGGAUUCUGAUGGCGAGUGUCCGUUUGAGGAGUGAGGGGGGCUGGAAACCUUGCGCUUAGGGACGGUCCUCUCUGCUGACCCUUGAUCAGAGACUGCACAGCAAUGGGACAGAUUACUGACAUAAACUUUGAGUUAAAACUGACAAUUCUCACCCUUGGAUCGUGUUGAGAUUUCCAUCCUUUCAUUUGCAUCUGACUCCUUCCCUCCUUCAGCCAAACUGCCACAAUGAAAAGAAAUCAAUGGUAUUUAAAUGUCCAUGUUGUACACCUAUACCUGCUGUUUUGUCGUUAUGGCACCUGCACUUCUGAUGCCAUCCUUUUCCAUAAAAGAAACUGCUAAACUAAAAUGAUGCUUGAAUUCAUUUUGCACCUUCAGAGGGAAUGUGUUUAGCGACAGUGAAGAUAAAAAUUUGAUACUAGUGAAAAAAGAAUCAGCUGUGGCCUUUCCUAAUGGUUUCGUCAACGAGUGACAUGGCAUUAAAAUAUCAAAUUUUAUGUAAAUAUAUACAAAAAAGCCAAAGCAGUAUCAUUUCUGUAAACAAUAAUGCGCUUUUCUCCAAUCCAAAAACACAACAGACAACCCAGUUUAAUUAUGCAGUGCAAAAAAAAGAAAUAGUUAAUAUUUCUUGUAUAUACACUGAACAAAAUUAUAAAACGCAACACUUUUGU